rnacentral:rRNA from 1 species
GUGGGGAAUAUUGGGCAAUGGGCGAAAGCCUGACCCAGCAACGCCGCGUGAAGGAAGAAGGUUUUCGGAUCGUAAACUUCUAUCCUUGGUGAAGAUAAUGACGGUAGCCAAGAAGGAAGCCCCGGCUAACUACGUGCCAGCAGCCGCGGUAAUACGUAGGGGGCAAGCGUUGUCCGGAAUGAUUGGGCGUAAAGGGCGCGUAGGCGGCCCGGUAAGUCUGAAGUGAAAGUCCUGCUUUUAAGGUGGGAAUUGCUUUGGAUACUGUCGUGCUUGAGUGCAGGAGAGGUAAGCGGAAGUCCCGGUGUAGCUGUGAAAUGCGUAGAGAUCGGGAGGAACACCAGUGGCGAAGGCGGCUUACUGGACUGUAACUGACGCUGAGGCGCGAAAGUGUGGGGAGCAAACAGGAUUAGAUACCCGAGUAGUCC